GCCGAGGUGGCGGAACCGGCAGACGCGCGGGUCUCAAAAACCCGUGAGGGCAACCUCAUGAGGGUUCGAUUCCCUCCCUCGGCA
rnacentral:tRNA from 1 species